UUAUUUAUUAUCACACAUCAUGACCCUGGAGAAGAGGCCCAGCCCCUGGGGAACUCAUUGGGCUGUCCAUAAGACACCUCAUUGUAGAGCCUGGCGGGACCAGGACUGGGGAGGGACACUAGGGGAAACGGAGUGGAGAGGUAGCUACCAGGCACAACUCCUGCCAGGGGUGGGCUGGAGAAGCCACAGGGUGGGGGGGGCAGCUGGUGGCUCACCUGGCAGCUACCCCCCUGGCUGCCAGGGGCUGGUCGGAGUUGGCACACCUGAGCAGCUUCUUCUGGUCCACCUUGUCCAGGAUGUUCUUCCGGAGCACGCGGGCCAGGCUGAGCUCCCCGUUGCACACCAAGCGAAAGACCAGUUCCAUGAGCAGCUUCAAGAUCUCUUCUGUCAACUCCACUAGGCUAGAGGAGCAAGGGCCACACAGUGAGGGCCAGGGACACAGCACAGGAAGAGGACUGCCGCCACUGGGCCCAGAAUCCACCUUAGAAUACCCGAGGGUCACAUGGCAGGGACCAGCAGGGCUAGGAGACCUCUUAAAGGAAGAGAGCAAGAAAAGGUGUCUGGACGGCUGCCUGUAUCCUUGGAAGCUCCGGGAGUAGUCCCACUAGUGACACGUAACUGCCGUGCUCUCAGCAAGUGCUCACUGGCACUGGACAAGCACCAGGGCACACCUUAGGGCCUGGGCUACCAAGACAACCCCAUUCAAAUCCUGCCCCGGGGGAAGCCCCUGGCCCCUUUGACCAGCUGCCCGCAGGACCCUCCUGACUUCCCUCCGCACAAGGCUUUCUGUAAAUGCCGGUCUCACAGCUGUGCCUUCCGGGGCUGAGGCCGGCCUCCCCUCAGAAGGGAAAUGCCUUGAAGGAGGGGGCCUGUGGUUUCCUUCAUCCUGGCUCUCCAGACCUAGGAGAGGGACUGGCUGGAUGCGCACUUGUUAAGUGAAUGGUGGGCAGGAGCAAGCUGGAUCCAGAGCUGCAGGGAUCUCUGCGGAUACCCGGCCCAGGAGAAGCAGAUGGAAUGAGCCAGGAUGCCCCAAUCUCAGCAGGGAAGCCUGCAGCCCCAGUGGGGUGCCUGAGGCCCCCUGCCACCUCGUGGGCAGAAGCACUCACCAGAGCUCAUCCACCACUCGCACCAGCACGAAGAACGUGUUCUUGCUGACGCGCUUCUUGAAGGUGUCAGCGAAGGGAGAGAACUUCUCGUACGUGAAGCGUAGGUUAGGGAAAGCUAUUCUCAUGUGGGCAGGGAUGGGGUGAUGGGAGGGGAGGGCGACCUUCUCCCCACUGCCAGUUACCGGGUGCUCGUGAUGUGCAGAAGCCCUGGGAGUGAGACACCCUCCCCCGCAGCCAUGCCUGCAGGACCACUUCCCCUGUGCCCCAAGGCCCUGCCUUUCUGUCAGUUCCCACCAAAGCUUCCUGUGGGACUUACUGAAAUGCCACAGGCUGCCUGGCUGAGGCUCAGGUGGAAAAAGGUGGUUAAAAACCACAUGCCCUAAAGCCCCUGGUCUCUGGGGGAGGUGCUUCCGGCACUCUUGCCGUAAGUUCCCUCCCAGAGUCUCUGGGUGGCUUCAGAUGCCCCCACCCCUCAGCAGCCACACACCUGGCCACCUCCAGCUCUUCUCCAAGGUCGUGGUCUCUGCCCAGAGGGCAUAGAUUCUUGCCAUCCUCUUGUGAUCACCAUUGACUCUCCAGACCCUGCUCUGGUUUGUCCUUCCUGCUCUCCAGGGAUCUCUGGGUGCUCAUGAAGGACCCUCACACCAAGGACUGUCCCCAGAGCCUGCUGCAGAGAGUGGAUGCUGGGAACUUGAGCUCAGGAGUGUGUGCUGUGCGCACAGGGUGGCCACUCUCCCACCAAACUGCUGGUCACUUACUCUCUCUGAGCCUGUUUCCUGGAUCAUGAAAUAGGCAGUAAUAUAAAGGCAUAUAUAACAUGGUAAUGAGAUAUCAAGUGGUUUUAUAGCUGAGUGAGCCUUCAUGUGCACGGGCUUUGCAUCAUGCACAUGAGAGUUACUAUCACCUGCAGAGCCAGGCCUGUGAGCAGCUGAACAUGUGAUGUGAGGCUGUAGGGAAUGUGUCUUUGCAGUGGGGACUGUCCACUUCAAUUCUGAGGGACGAGGUUCUCUAGGGCUGGGGCAUGGGGACAGUGAAAGGAGCGACAGAGGGUCAGAGGAUGCAAGAGGCCGAGCCUCAGGGCACACAGAAAAGGGAGACAGCCUGGAGGACUCAGACUUCCUGCCCCAGGUACAACAGCUGUCCAGUAGAUGGCAGUUACGGGCUGUAAUGGAGGAGGUGGCCUGGAACAGGGGGCCAGGGGCUGGCCCACUGUUUAGAGCAGCUGCUCAGGUUAGCCUCCACAGGAGGGGCAAGUUUGAGAGGAAGUCCAUGACAGUGGGUCCUAGGGCCUGGGGUCUUCCUUAACUGCUACUGCACAGAGUCAUCCUUGAAAGGGUGAGCCUGUGGGGCUGUACAGUUUAAGGGUAGGAGCAAAUUGGGUCUGGAUGUGGUCUUUUUGUCCACUGCUGCAUCUGCCACCAGGCGGAGUGGCUAUGGCCUUCCCUGAGGCUGUUGAGUCUUGACUCCCUUAAGCCCCACACACUUGGGACUCAUCACCUCGAUGGCCUGGGGUUCAGCUAGCAAGCUACAGAUGCUGGUGACCUGGGUCUCUGCCGGGGUCUUUGUGUUCCCUCCAUCUUGGGAUGUGUCGAUUCUUUCUACCUCCUUCUCAGGACUCCUAAGUGACCACAACUGCUGUCAGACAGCACACCCAUGAUCCAGCACUUCAUGUCAUCUCACUCAGCCCUUAGACAAGGAACGAGGCUCGAAGAUAAAGCCUGGCCUGAGGAGGAGUGUGGCUGAGUGCAGAGGUGUGACCAUCCAGCCCGCCCACCACUCCGUGUUCAGCAGACAAGACACCAGAACUCUUCUGAGAGCUGCCCACACACCAGGGCAUGUUGCACUGGGUCACAGUCAAGUUGAGGGACAAUGACACCAUUAAAUCUCUCUCUCUCUUCACCAACCCAGGGGGCAGAGAGGUUUAACAAGUGGGAACUGCCUAGCUCUGUGCCCAGAACCCCAGAGGUAGCUGAACCUUGGCCUAGAGAGGGAAGAAAAGCUUGAACUUGCAGAACAUCUCACUAAGAAGAUGAUGCCAAAAUGAAGCUGCUGAUGGCAGAGCGGAUCUGCAGGUCCUGCACGUGGAGAAAUUUACUACAUAUUUCUAAACCUGGUUAGGUUUGACUGGUGCCAAUACUCAAAAACGUUAAAAAGAGUUAAAAAGAUACAGUUAAAUGUGCUGACUCCUGACUGAUCUGGGUUCCCAAAAAAUAAGCUACACACGUUAACUUGAGGGAGAAGUGGGGAAGUGGAGGAUGAUUUGCAUAUCAGAUGAUAUGAGGGAAUUAUUAUAAAUUUCCUUAGGUAUGAUAAUGGUAUUGUAAUCCAGUAGGCUUUUAAAAUAUUUUUGGAGGGCAGUCCCAGUGGCGCAGAGGUUUAGCGCCACCUGCAGCCCAGGGCGUGAUCCUGGAGACUCUGGAUUGAGUCCCAUGUCAGGCUCU